CCCCGUACACAAAAAUGCACAUACUGUGAGCUCGAUGAGUAGGGCGGGACACGUGGUAUCCUGUCUGAAUAUGGGGGGACCAUCCUCCAAGGCUAAAUACUCCUGACUGACCGAUAGUGAACCAGUACCGUGAGGGAAAGGCGAAAAGAACCCCGGCGAGGGGAGUGAAAAAGAACCUGAAACCGUGUACGUACAAGCAGUGGGAGCACGCUUAGGCGUGUGACUGCGUACCUUUUGUAUAAUGGGUCAGCGACUUAUAUUCUGUAGCAAGGUUAACCGAAUAGGGGAGCCGAAGGGAAACCGAGUCUUAACUGGGCGUUAAGUUGCAGGGUAUAGACCCGAAACCCGGUGAUCUAGCCAUGGGCAGGUUGAAGGUUGGGUAACACUAACUGGAGGACCGAACCGACUAAUGUUGAAAAAUUAGCGGAUGACUUGUGGCUGGGGGUGAAAGGCCAAUCAAACCGGGAGAUAGCUGGUUCUCCCCGAAAGCUAUUUAGGUAGCGCCUCGUGAAUUCAUCUCCGGGGGUAGAGCACUGUUUCGGCAAGGGGGUCAUCCCGACUUACCAACCCGAUGCAAACUGCGAAUACCGGAGAAUGUUAUCACGGGAGACACACGGCGGGUGCUAACGUCCGUCGUGAAGAGGGAAACAACCCAGACCGCCAGCUAAGGUCCCAAAGUCAUGGUUAAGUGGGAAACGAUGUGGGAAGGCCCAGACAGCCAGGAUGUUGGCUUAGAAGCAGCCAUCAUUUAAAGAAAGCGUAAUAGCUCACUGGUCGAGUCGGCCUGCGCGGAAGAUGUAACGGGGCUAAACCAUGCACCGAAGCUGCGGCAGCGACGCUGAUGCGUUGUUGGGUAGGGGAGCGUUCUGUAAGCCUGUGAAGGUGUGCUGUGAGGCAUGCUGGAGGUAUCAGAAGUGCGAAUGCUGACAUAAGUAACGAUAAAGCGGGUGAAAAGCCCGCUCGCCGGAAGACCAAGGGUUCCUGUCCAACGUUAAUCGGGGCAGGGUGAGUCGACCCCUAAGGCGAGGCCGAAAGGCGUAGUCGAUGGGAAACAGGUUAAUAUUCCUGUACUUGGUGUUACUGCGAAGGGGGGACGGAGAAGGCUAUGUUGGCCGGGCGACGGUUGUCCCGGUUUAAGCGUGUAGGCUGGUUUUCCAGGCAAAUCCGGAAAAUCAAGGCUGAGGCGUGAUGACGAGGCACUACGGUGCUGAAGCAACAAAUGCCCUGCUUCCAGGAAAAGCCUCUAAGCAUCAGGUAACAUCAAAUCGUACCCCAAACCGACACAGGUGGUCAGGUAGAGAAUACCAAGGCGCUUGAGAGAACUCGGGUGAAGGAACUAGGCAAAAUGGUGCCGUAACUUCGGGAGAAGGCACGCUGAUAUGUAGGUGAAGUCCCUCGCGGAUGGAGCUGAAAUCAGUCGAAGAUACCAGCUGGCUGCAACUGUUUAUUAAAAACACAGCACUGUGCAAACACGAAAGUGGACGUAUACGGUGUGACGCCUGCCCGGUGCCGGAAGGUUAAUUGAUGGGGUCAGCGCAAGCGAAGCUCUUGAUCGAAGCCCCGGUAAACGGCGGCCGUAACUAUAACGGUCCUAAGGUAGCGAAAUUCCUUGUCGGGUAAGUUCCGACCUGCACGAAUGGCGUAAUGAUGGCCAGGCUGUCUCCACCCGAGACUCAGUGAAAUUGAACUCGCUGUGAAGAUGCAGUGUACCCGCGGCAAGACGGAAAGACCCCGUGAACCUUUACUAUAGCUUGACACUGAACAUUGAGCCUUGAUGUGUAGGAUAGGUGGGAGGCUUUGAAGUGUGGACGCCAGUCUGCAUGGAGCCGGCCUUGAAAUACCACCCUUUAAUGUUUGAUGUUCUAACGUUGACCCGUUAUCCGGGUUGCGGACAGUGUCUGGUGGGUAGUUUGACUGGGGCGGUCUCCUCCUAAAGAGUAACGGAGGAGCACGAAGGUUGGCUAAUCCUGGUCGGACAUCAGGAGGUUAGUGCAAUGGCAUAAGCCAGCUUGACUGCGAGCGUGACGGCGCGAGCAGGUGCGAAAGCAGGUCAUAGUGAUCCGGUGGUUCUGAAUGGAAGGGCCAUCGCUCAACGGAUAAAAGGUACUCCGGGGAUAACAGGCUGAUACCGCCCAAGAGUUCAUAUCGACGGCGGUGUUUGGCACCUCGAUGUCGGCUCAUCACAUCCUGGGGCUGAAGUAGGUCCCAAGGGUAUGGCUGUUCGCCAUUUAAAGUGGUACGCGAGCUGGGUUUAGAACGUCGUGAGACAGUUCGGUCCCUAUCUGCCGUGGGCGCUGGAGAACUGAGGGGGGCUGCUCCU
rnacentral:rRNA from 1 species